rnacentral:lncRNA from 1 species
AAAAUUUAUUUUUAAAUAUAAGUUAGAUUUAAAAAAAAUUUUACUGCACCAGCACGAAAACACCUAGUAUCUUGUAAAACAAUAGGAAAAUGUUGAGCUUAUUGGUUUGGGCCCAAACAGAUAACCAAAACCGUCAUGUGAAUAUGGGCUCAAAUACUCGUCCUAUAAUAUAAAGAACAAAACUUAGGUUGAGAACCUUUAAAUUCACCUCUUUUCUUAUUACCAAUCAAAAUGACACAUAGAUUAAUAAUAAAAUACAUUAUUUUUAAAAAAAAAAAAUUAAAAAAAUAAUGACACUCAUUUUAAUGACGCUAACGCCACUAACUAAAUCCUAAAUCUUAAAUUCUAAACCUUAAACCAUAAAUCUAAACCUAAACCCUAAAUUCUAAACACAAACUCUAAUCUCUAAACUCAAACCCUAUAUCUUAAACUCAAAUCCUAAACCGUAAACUCUAAACCCAAACCCUACGCCUUGAACUCAAACCCUAGAACCUAUACUCAAACCUAGACUCUAAACUCAAAUCUUAAACCCUAAAGAAACAACGUCAACAUUAACCCAAACCUUUAGGAUAUAAGAUUUGGGUUCAGAGUUUACGAUUUGAGUUUAGGGUGUAUGGAUUAGGUUUGGAUAUAUGGUUUGAGUUUAGAGUCUAUGAUUUGGGUUUAGGAUAUAGGGUUUGGGUUUAGGGUUUAGAGUUUAGGAUUUGGGUUUAGGAUAUAGGGUUUGAGUUUAGGGUUUAAGAUUUGGGUUUAGAGUAUAGAUUUAAAGUUUAGGGUUUAGUUAGUGGCGUUAGUAUCAUUAAAAUUGGUGUUAUUAUUUUUUUUUCAAUUAUUUCAGAUUUUUUAAAUAAAAUUAAUCUAUUUUAUUAUUAAUUUAGGUGACAUUUUGAUUGGUAAUAAAAUGAGAGGUGAAUUUAAAGGUUCACCCUAGGGGUGAACCUAAGUCUUACAAAUACAUAAAAUUGAUUAGUUACAUUACAUUAUCAUUGUAUAUAUAUAUUAAUAUAUUCUAAAUUGUUCUCAGAUUCUAUAAGAAUAUAUUUGUUUUCAUUGUGAGUUAUUGUUACUAACUACUAAAAGUAGAACCGUGAGGCCAUGCAAGCACGGUCAAAAUGUAAUUUGCAAGAUUCCAAACCAGAGAAGUGACUAAAAAUGAAAUGUGAUUUUUAGAUCUCUUGUUGGGAAAGAUUUUAGGUAGUUCAAGCCACUCAAUGUGCUGCUCACAUUCAUCAUUGGCUCCUUCAGUAGCAUCCAACAAAAGUUGUUUCUUUCUUGAAUC